rnacentral:rRNA from 1 species
CCUACGGGGGGCAGCAGUGGGGAAUAUUGCACAAUGGGGGAAACCCUGAUGCAGCAACGCCGCGUGAGUGAUGAAGGUUUUCGGAUCGUAAAGCUCUGUCUUCAGGGACGAUAAUGACGGUACCUGAGGAGGAAGCCACGGCUAACUACGUGCCAGCAGCCGCGGUAAUACGUAGGUGGCGAGCGUUGUCCGGAUUUACUGGGCGUAAAGGGAGCGUAGGCGGACUUUUAAGUGAGAUGUGAAAUACUCGGGCUCAACCCGGGGGCUGCAUUUCAAACUGGGAGUCUAGAGUGCAGGAGAGGAGAGUGGAAUUCCUAGUGUAGCGGUGAAAUGCGUAGAGAUUAGGAAGAACACCAGUGGCGAAGGCGACUCUCUGGACUGUAACUGACGCUGAGGCUCGAAAGCGUGGGGAGCAAACAGGCUUAGAUACCCGAGUAGUC